UCUCCUAUGGAUUUAUCCCCUGGUGGACGGU
rnacentral:piRNA from 1 species